rnacentral:rRNA from 1 species
ACACUGACGUCGCGACGCAUAUCAAUAAGCGGAGGAAAAGAAACUAACUAAGGAUUCCCUCAGUAACGGCGAGUGAAGCGGGAAGAGCUCAAAUUUGAAAUCUUCAAGGUUCUACCUUGACGAAUUGUAGUUUAAAGAAGUGUUUUCUGUAGUGGAGUUUGGUAAAAGUUCUUUGGAAUAGGACAUCAUAGAGGGUGAGAAUCCCGUAUUUGAUCAUUAUUUCCUAGCUUUGUGAUACACUUUCAAAGAGUCGGAUUGUUUGGGAAUGCAGUCCAAAAUGGGUGGUAAAUUUCAUCUAAAGCUAAAUAUUGGCGAGAGACCGAUAGCGAACAAGUACCGUGAGGGAAAGAUGAAAAGAACUUUGAAAAGAGAGUUAAACAGUACGUGAAAUUGUCAAAAGGGAAGCGUUUGACACCAGUGUUGUUUUUCCGAAAAUCAAUUAUAGAUGUUUUGUUUCUGAGGAGUGAUGACUUCAUCGGCUUCCUUCUCUCUUCACGAAACUUUUGUAAUGCACUUUUCGGUUAACAAGUCAACAUCAAUUUCUUUUGUUGUAAAAGAGUAUUCGGAAGGUGGCUUUCUUUUCGGAGAAAGUGUUUAUAGCCCUAUACUUCUACAAUCGGAGAGAUUGAGGUCUGCAGCGUAGAUCCUUCGGGGUUAGAUACACUUGUGCUAAGUUAUAGCUUUUCAUAGACAACUUGUUGACUAUGUUUAGUCUUGUAGCUUACUCGCUUGUGCUAUUUUACCUACGCUUAGGAUGUUGAGUCGUAGAGCACGCAG